UCCGUAGGCGGUGUGGCAAGUCGGUAGUGAAAUCUCUGGGCUUAACUCAGAGGCUGCUGCCGAAACUGCUGUGCUAGAGUGCGAGAGAGGCGAGUGGAAUUGCGGGUGUAGCGGUGAAAUGCGUAGAUAUCCGCAGGAACAUCCGAGGCGAAAGCGGCUCGCUGGAUCGCAACUGCGCUGAGGGACGAAAGGCUAGGGGGAAGCAAACA
rnacentral:rRNA from 1 species